UCUGGUGCCAAGACUGAAAUCCUCUAUUUAUCCACAGAACAGGUCCAGCAAACCACUCCACAUGAUCCCAAUCUUGACUUUAAGGAAACACCUCUGAGAUGGACAAGAAGUUCUGUCUUCAUGGCCCUUGGCCUCUGUGCAGAC
ensembl:misc_RNA